rnacentral:rRNA from 1 species
UGGGGAAUUUUGGACAAUGGGCGAAAGCCUGAUCCAGCAAUGCCGCGUGUGUGAAGAAGGCCUUCGGGUUGUAAAGCACUUUUGUCCGGAAAGAAAUCCUUGGCUCUAAUACAGUCGGGGGAUGACGGUACCGGAAGAAUAAGCACCGGCUAACUACGUGCCAGCAGCCGCGGUAAUACGUAGGGUGCAAGCGUUAAUCGGAAUUACUGGGCGUAAAGCGUGCGCAGGCGGUUUGCUAAGACCGAUGUGAAAUCCCCGGGCUCAACCUGGGAACUGCAUUGGUGACUGGCAGGCUAGAGUAUGGCAGAGGGGGGUAGAAUUCCACGUGUAGCAGUGAAAUGCGUAGAGAUGUGGAGGAAUACCGAUGGCGAAGGCAGCCCCCUGGGCCAAUACUGACGCUCAUGCACGAAAGCGUGGGGAGCAAACAGGAUUAGAUACCCUGGUAGUCCACGCCCUAAACGAUGUCAACUAGUUGUUGGGGAUUCAUUCCUUAGUAACGUAGCUAACGCGUGAAGUUGACCGCCUGGGGAGUACGGUCGCAAGAUUAAAACU